rnacentral:lncRNA from 10 species
AGGCCCCGCCCCCGCCGUACCUCCGGCAUGGGCGAAUCGGCCGGCAGGCGAUGGGACCCCCGGGAUUCGAGCCGCGCGGGUUAGGAAUUGGCCUCUGUAGCUAACGGACGCCUGAGAUCCGGGACUGCAGCACUCGCGGGAAAGGACGCUCCGAAAGAUGGCGACCAAACCUGGGCGGGAGCGUGGGGGAGCCCCUUCCCACCCCGGCCCGGGCCGCGGACAUCCGUGCGGAGGAGCGACGUCUGCGCACGUUGUGGGGCGGUGGACGCGCACAGGCGAGGGUGGGUGGGUGGGUGCUGAGCGGUUGUGGGAUGAGGGGUCUCUCAGUAGCGGUUGAGAGCCCAUCCUCUGACCACUGCUUUUUCAUGUAAAAGUCAGAAUCGUUCAAUCAGUCAUUAACUGGUUUAAGGCUGGCUAAACCACCUGGUUUGAAAUGCGUGAAAAUUACACAUGUACUAGACUUCUGUGAUUCCUUUGGGUGUGUAUUUUACAUAUCUCAGAAAUCAGAAACAUGAGUGCCCUAUCUAGCAGCCAGCAGUCCACCAAAAUGCCUACAAAACUUUAUCGUAAGUUCAAAAGGAUAGCGUAAUGCCACUGAAGUAAGCUCUCGAACCUGUAAGUAAUGUAUGGUCUUCCCCAUUCUAGGUUGAUGGCGAGGAUUUCUAGUUACUCAGGCCAAAAACUUUAUAUCAUCCAUAACUCCUCUCAUACUCUCAUUUUCACUUUCAAUCUGUCAAGAAAGCUUGUUGGUUGUACCUUCAAAAUAGAACAGAGUGGGCAACAUAGCGAGACCCUGUCUCUACAAAAAAAAAAAAAAAAAAUUACCCUGGUGUGUUGGCGUGUACCUAUAGUUCCAGGUACUCUGGAGGCUGAGGCCAGGAGUUACGUUACAGUGAGCCAUCAUCAGGCCACUGCACUCCAGCUUGGGCUGGACAGAGUGACACGUGUUCCAAAAAAAAAAAAAAUUCUCCAUCUUUCCUACCUUACUAUUUUUCCUUUCAUCCCAUGACACUUCCCACCUUGUAACAAUCUUUAUAAUUCAGAGUCAGCCCUCCGCAUCCAUGGCUUCUGCGUUUCUGGAUUCAACCAACCACAGAUGGAAAAUAUUUGGGAAAAAAAACACAACAAUUUAAAAAUACAAAUAAAAACCAAUACAAUAUAACAGCUAUUUACAUAGCACUUACAUUGUAUUAUAAGUAAUCUAUAGAUAAUUUAUACAGGAGGAUAUAUGUGGGUUAUGUGCAAAUACUAUAUCAUUUUAUAUUAGAGACCUGAGAGGAUUUUGGUACUGGUCGUGGUCCUAGAGCCAAUCCCCCUCGGAUACUGAGUUAACCAUAAGAUCUUUAUCUACAUCAUACCAUAAGCAUUUUGAUUUUCCAGUUACUGGUCUCACUUUGUCACCCAGGCUGGAGUGCAGUGGCCUAAUCUGUGCUAUCUCGGCUCUCUGCAACCUCUGUCUUCCGGGCUCAAGUGAUCCUCCCACCUCAGCCUCCCAAGGAGCUAGGACUACAAACGCACACUACUACACCUAGCUAAUUUUUGUGUUUUUGGUAGACAGGGUCUCACUAUGUUGCCCAGGCUGGUCUGAAACUCCCAGGCUCACACAAUCCGCCCUCCUCGCCUCACAAAGUGCUGGGAUUACAGGUGUAAGCCACGGUGUCUGGUCUGGAUGAUACUUUUUGUAGAGUAUGUGUGCAUAAUUAUUUGCUCAAUGUUAUAUUCAUAGCAGUCUCUUUACACAUUUAAUUUAUCCUUUAUGAUUUAAAACAAUUUAAAGCUACAGAUUACAUGUUACAAUUUGAUUUUUUAUAAAAUUAAAUAGACUUUUGUUUAUAAAAAAAUUGACAAUGUGUUUCAUCAAUGUUAAUCUGUAGUUUGUAAUUACAAUAAUACCAAAUAAAAUUUUUCUAGAGUCAUUAUGAUGUAUCUGUGCACUGUCCUUAAAAUUGUUACCAAGUAAAAUCUUAUUCCAAAAGAAGGACAAGGGUAAAAAAUAGACACUCUUCAUAAUUUAUUCACAUAAUAUACAGUGAAAAUACCGAUAAAAGUAAAUGCAACUAUUAUAGUCCAGAAGAAACUGUUUUGCAUUCCUAUUAGUCCAUAACAAGUGGAAACAUUACACCAAAAACAACAGGAAGGAACAUGUUGUUCUAACCAACUGCUAAAUAGCCUUGAGCUCAUAUAACAGCCACAUUGGCCUGAUUCUGCAAUCUUUUACUUAAAUAAAUUUUCCUUAAAAUUUUUAAAGCAAAUGGAUUUUCCCUAAAAGUAUACUAUUAAUUUUUGUUUUUGUUUUGUUUUUGAGAUGGAGUCUUGCUCUUGUUUUCCAGGCUGGAGUGCAAUAGCACUAUCUUGGCUCACUGCAACCUCUGCCUCCCAGGUUCAAAUGAUUCUCCUGCCUCAGCUUCCCAAGUAGGUGGGAUUACAGGCACCUGCCACCACGCCCGGCUAAUUUUUCUAUUUUUAGUUGACACAGGGUUUUGCCAUGUUGGCCAGGCUGGUCUCGAACUCCUGACCUCAGGGGAUCCGCCUGCCUCGGCCUCCCAAAGUACUGAGAUUACAGGUGUGAGCCACUGCACUCGGCCUAUUAAUUUUUUUUUUUUUUUUUUUUUGAGAGAGCGUCUCGCUCUGUCACACAGGCUGGAGUGCAGUGGUGCAAUCUUGGCUCACUGCAAUCUUCCUCUCCUGAGUUCAAGUGAUUCUCUCCUCCUUCAGCCUCCUGAGUAGCUGGGAUUACAGGCGCCCACCACCACGCCUGGCUAAUUUUUGUAUUUUUAGUAGAGACAGGGUUUCACCAUGUCGGCCAGGCUGGUCUUGAACUCCUGACCUCAGGUGAUCCGCCCGCCCCAGCCUCCCAAAGCGCUGGGAUUACAGGCGGGAGCCACCGUGCCCAGCCACUAUUAAUGUUUUUUAAAUCCUCUUUUCCAAAAUUUUAUAGCAGUUCUUUCUAACAUUUAGGAGACAUGGUGUACGGAGUCAGAGUCUGGAGUUCAAAUCCAAAUUCUGCUGCAUAAUUAGUUAGGUGACUCUAAACAAAGUUUUUUCUAAACCUAUCUUUUCUUCUAGUUUAAUAAGACCAAUAAUAUUACCUACCUGUGAGGUCUGUUGUGAGAAAUAUAUAAGAGAACUCAAGUAAAAUCGUUAGCCUUAGCCUUGGAACAGGCUGUGCUGGUAAAAGCUAGUUAUUAUCAUUACACAAGCAUAUAAUUAAGCUCAUUGUUCUACAUUUGUAAUACUGAGAAAAUGGCUCAUAAAAGGCCCCAAAUGGGAUGGUAUGAGUUCUACAUCAAUAUAGUAUAAUGUUUAAAUAAAUGAACAUUUUUAAAGGGGCACUAACAUUUCUUCUGCCACCACAACGUGCCAGACACAAUUCCAGGCAACAAAGGAAGCUAAGAGAAAUAAGGCUCAAACUUAACACAGCUUUACAGUUGAAUGACAAGAGACACAUUUAAUAGAUAACUACAUUCAAAGUAGUAUGACCAUAUUUCCUGAUUUAUCAGGAAUCUCUUGUCCUGGCUUAAGAGUUAUUUGUGUCUUCUUUCAUUCUCAGUUGUGUCUAGGUCUGCUGAUAAAUUAGAUGAUCAUUCCUAACUAGAUGUAUGUACUAACUGCUUGGGAUACAAGAGAAGAAACCACCAGUUCUGUGUAAAGCUAUAGAGACUUAAAUUGCUUCUUUAUAGGAACAUCUGAAUGAGUCAAGUGAAUCAAAAGAAAGAGGAAAGGCAGAGGGAAGAUUUAAUUGUUAUUUUUCUGAGUCAGAACUACAAAGCUUUCUAUACUUGUGCUGUGAACAUUAACUAAUAGCAAACUUAGUAAAUCCACUUGACCAAUGUUAUAUAAAUUACUUUUGGAAUUUAGUAUUUUUUUCCUAAAGAUAUAACAGGCAUACUCCAAGAAACAAAUUAUUCAACAUGUAUUUGUUUAUGUAUACAACAUACAGUAUAUCUAUUGAGUGUAUAUUAUGUAUACAUGGUCUGUUUUUAGUGUGAUAGAAGAUACCAAAAAAAUUAUAAGGUACAGGCAAGCAUCAUAAAAUCUAAUGGCAAACCCC